AGGCUGUUACCAAAAGGUGCUGCCCACAAUGGGAGCAGAUUUUCAUUUAUUAAUUGGUGAAAUUAAGAUAGCUCUUCAACUAAGGCUCCUUACUCAUGAGAUUCUAAUUUGAGUCCGACCAGCACUGGGGUAGCUAGGGCGCAGAGUCGCCUGACACCCACCAGCCACCCACAACACCCUCCAUGGGAUCUUAAGACUUCAGGUGAUCCAGCCACCCUCCUGGCCAGAGGACAGGUCUCCACCCGGCCCGGGAGCCCUUUGCCUCGUGAUCAACGGGAGCCAUCCUGGUUCCGGGACUCCGCUGAACUUAGUCUGCACAGACUCUUCGAUAAACCCAUUACUCUUUCGUGGGUCUCAAUUUGCUCCUGGGAAAGUUGGAGUGGCUCCAAGUCUGACAUUCUUGAGGAAUCAGACUCUCAAUCCUAGACAGCCAGGAUUUUCAUGCAACAACUGGGUCCUCUGAUGCUGUGUACAGCUUAUACAAUAUCCACACUCCAUCUUUAAUUCCAGGUUAAGCUAAGAAAUGGCAGAAGAGGUCAUUAGGGCAGUGAGGAUCCUCCCAAGCCCCAGAGCUCCUAAGUUCAUGAAGAGGUUGCUUCAAGGAUGAACCUGAACUAUAUUUGCUUGCCAUGCUUCCAUACACCUUGCUUCUGGACUUCACAUCUGUUUCUCAUCUAACCCAGCUCUAGGAACCGGGCACCCCAGAAUACAUGCUGACACUUCUAGGAGCGAACUCUCAUAACCAUCAAAGGUCAAUGGACCCAAGAAACUCACUUGGCUCAGUAAGCUACAAGCAUAACAAGCAUGGAGCUCUACUAGAUAAAGUACAAAAAGAAGAAACAGCACAAGCUUAUGGUCUUAUCAGCUGAUAAGCCCCUCCUAUUUUGGAAGAUCGGCCUUUUAAAAAAAAAAUCCAUUCAUCUGUGAGCAAACAUAGAGGUGGCUUUAAUGGGAUAGCAAUAAUUGACCUCAUAGAUUGGCCUUACAUCCUUGGUAUAAUUACAGGUACAUGUAGCAUUACAGGAGUUGUGUCAUAGAGGAACCCACAGAAUGUGGACAUUAAUAAACCAUUGUCUCUGCUCAACCAGAGGCAGGCUAUGCAGAGUACAGAAUGACCCAUUUUAGAAAAGCAUAAUUUUCUAUAAAAUUAUACUUGAUGUAUAAG
rnacentral:lncRNA from 1 species